UUCAUCAGUCUGUUUCCUGGUUCUAUGUCUCUGGAUCUAUUUUGUUCAUAUGUUUAUUUUGUUCAUUAGAUUCUAUAUAUGAGUGAAAUCAUGUGAUACUUAUCUUUCUCUGACUGGCUUAUUUAACUUUGCAUAAUACUCCCCAGGUCCUUCCAUGCAGUCUCAAAGGCACAUGCCAUGUCU